GACGAACGCUGGCGGCGUGCUUAACACAUGCAAGUCGAACGGAAAGGCCCUGCUUUUGUGGGGUGCUCGAGUGGCGAACGCGUGAGUAACACGUGAGUAACCUGCCCUUUACUUUGGGAUAACUUCAGGAAACUGGGGCUAAUACCCGGUAUGAACACCUGCUGCAUGGGGUGGGUUGGUAAGUUUCGGCGUUGUGGGAUGGACUGGCGGCUUCGCCGCUUGUUGGUGGGGUAGUGGAUUACCAAGGCUUUGACGGGUGGCCGGCCUGAGAGGGUGACCGGCCACAUUGGGAUUGAGAUACGGCCCAGACUCCUACGGGAGGCAGCGGUGGGAAAUAUUGCACAAUGGGCGGAAGCAUGAUGCAGCAACGCCGCGUGCUGGAUGACUGCUGUCGGGGUGUAACCCGCUUUCGCCUGUGACGAAGCGUGAGUGACGGUAAUGGGUAAAGAAGCAACGGCUAACUACGUG
rnacentral:rRNA from 1 species